GAAUCCCAUCCAAGUUCAUCUAUGGCAGAUUCGGAGGGGACUAGGCCUUACGCAAUGGUUAUCAAUGUCACUGGUGUCUCAGUGGGAUUCGGCUUAUCUUCUGCUUGUGACACCCUCAUCUCCCAGCCUUCGGCACCUAAUUCCUGAAUGUAAGAUGGAACAGACACCUGAAAGUCUUCCUCAGAAUAACAAUCCAGAUUCUGACAGAACAUCAGAAGUAUAUCUACAUGAGGAAUUACAGCAAGACAUACAAAAGUUUAAGAAUGAGGUCAACACGUUAGAAGAAGAGUUCCUGGCUUUGAAGAAAGAAACUGUUCAACUUCAGAAAGAGGUUGAAGAAGAAAUGGAGAAGCACAGAAGUAAUAGAACAGAAUUAACAGGAACCCUAACUGAUGGUGCUACUGUUGGCAGUGAUGAUGAUGGACUAAAUCAGCAGAUUCCUAGGAAGGAGAAUGGAGAGCAUGACAGAUUCUGUUAGCCUACCAAUAAUCCAAGACACAUUUUGUUUAUGUGAAUGCUUACUGAAACUUAAGAAUAAUCGCUGUGACCGACUUAGAGUAAAACUUAAACACUUGGAAAAUACAGUCAGUGUACUACAAAAUGAGCUAUUUGAAGCAAAAAAGGCAGCAUUACAGUUAGAGCUUCAAAAAAUUGAAUUGGAGAAAAAGCUGUACAAUUUGAGGUAUGACAUUCUAGUUCUAAAGAAAUAUUUAUAUUAAAGACAAUAUAUCAGAAUUUUUGUAAUUGCUGACUUACCUUCUGCAGAUGAAUGAGGGAGAAACAUUUUUGGUCUUGCAGAAUAUGAAAUUCUUGGAAAUAAUAAAACAAAUUAUUAACUGUGAACUCUUCUAAUAAAUAAAUGUAUAUUCUUUGCCUUCUUAAUGGCCAUAUAGAAGUCCACCAUAUAAAAUCUUGUUAUUCGUUUAACAAAUUGUAAUUUGGUUUUUUAAAUUAUCUUGUUCUUAUAAUUAAUGAUGUAAGGAAUAUCUUUUAUCAUCAUCAUUAUUUGUAGGCACAGGGUCUCACUCUGUGCCUGGGGCUGAACUUCACUGGUGUGACCAUACUUCCCUGCAGCCUUGAACUCCAUCCUCCUGCCUCAGCGUCCUAAGUAGUUAGGACUCCAGGUGCACAUUCCCAUGCUUGGCUAACUUUUAAGUGUUUUGUAGAGACAGGGUAUCACUAUGUUGCUCAGGAUGAUCUCCAACUCCCGACCUCAAGCAUUCCUUCUACCUUGGCCUCCCAUAUCAUUAGUAUGACAGG
rnacentral:lncRNA from 1 species